rnacentral:rRNA from 1 species
GAUGAACGCUGGCGGCGUGCCUAAUACAUGCAAGUCGAGCGAACAGACGCGGCUCUUGCUCCUCGCACGUUAGCGGCGCACGGGUGAUUAACGCGUGGAUCACCCACCUAUAAGACUGGUAUCACUUCGAGAAACCGGCGCUAAUAGCGGAUAAUAUAUUUAACCGCAUGGUUCAAUAGUGAAAGACGGUUUUGCUGUCACUUAUCGAUGGAUCAGCGCCGCUGUAGCUGGUUGGUCAGGUAAACGCUUACCAAGGGAAAGAUGCGUAGCCGAAGUGAGAGGGUGAUCGGCCACACGGGAAGUGGGACACGCUCCAGACUACUACGGGACGGAGCAGUCGGGAAUCGGACGCAAUGGGCGAAAGUUUUACGGAGCAACGGCGCGUGAGUGAUGAAGGUCCUCCGAUCGUAACACUCUGUUAUUAGGGAAGAACAAAUGUGUACGUAAAUAUGCCCGUCUUGACGGUACCUAAUCAGAAAGCAACGGCUAACUACGUG